rnacentral:lncRNA from 10 species
CCAUCCUCACCAGCGAGUGUGGAAGACAUCCUUUUUAAGAUUCUCUGAGUCCCAGUCUAUCAUCACUUCCUGGAGAAGGCAAGUGACUGGCAAACAUAGAUCACUUUCACAGAUAUUAUCCCAUCCGAACCUCACAGAGAUCUGUGAUGUAAGCAAGGCUGGAAUAAUUACUCCCAUUUGACGAGUCAACUAAACCCUACAAAGGUUAACUGGAUCAAGAUCAAAUUACAAAAUGGUGUUGGAACUUAGGUUUUUUGAUUCCUGACUCAAUCUACUCACCACUCUACCACCUGGCCUCUUUUCUGUGCCUAUCCAUGAAAAUAACCACCUUUGCCUCUCCUAAUACCACCCACUGCCUAUGCAAAAUUAAAGUACUUAACAAGCCCAUUUGGAGGACUGGCCAAGAAUUGGGGAGGAGGGAAGUGAAGACAUUCAGAAGGAGCCUCUUAAAGAAUGAGCCACCCGGAGGGAGAUGCCUGUGUCACUGGGGAUGAGAAAGCACUGCCUGUGGAGCCAGACGCAGGGACGCUAGGCUCUCUGAAUACAGGGCUUCAUGCUUUGACCAUGUAUUUAGUCUUUGGCAAAGGCCUUGAAAUACUGGCAACCAUUGUGCAGGGAAACAACAGUACUCAAGAAAUAACCACGAUCCUACAAUUUCUACAACUGCUCUCUCAGUGUAAUCCUCUGACUACAAAAGUAUUAACUAUACUUCUCAAGAAGCUGAGGCUUCUGUUCUAAAGAGUAAUUGACUUUUCCUUACGGUUCAACAUCUACAGUCUGCUCUCCAGGCCCUGGGGUGACCGUCACGUUGCUGCCAUCGAUGCUGUCUAAAACACAAAAAUCAGAGGUCACUAGUCAACAGGGAAGGAAUGUUGAAAAAGACUAAAGCAAAUGAGCAGUUACCUAACCAGCCAUAAUAGAGCUUCUCUCCUACCCAGCUCCUGCCAGAGUUAUCCUUGACAGUUUCCAGGGAGCUGGGUGGAGUAUGGUGCAAAAUAACUUAGGGUUACCCAUUUCUCACACAGGGUGAGGAGAAGCCAGCUGUCCCACAAUGGUCUGCUAAGCGGUAUGAUUUCUAUGCAAUUAUUCUUGCUCCAGAAAGAGAUCCUAGCCUCUCUAUGCUUGAUUUUUAUAAAGCAUGCUAAAAUGUCAAGGCUUGAUCUUGCAUGUAAUACCUAAUCUUAUUUGUACAUCUACUGAGUACAUUUUCUUUUUUUUGAGACGGAGUCUCGCUCCUUCGCCCAGGCGGGAGUGCUGUGGCGCGAUGUCGGCUCACUGCAGCCUCCGCUUCCCGGGUUCAAGAGAUUCUCCUGCCUCAGUCUCCUGAGUAGCUGGAACUACAGGUGCCUGCUACCACAUCCCGUUAUUUUUUUUUUUGAGACGGAGUUUCACUCUCAUCCCCCAGGCUAGAGUGCAGUGGCAUGAUCUUGGCUCACUGCAACCUCUGCCUCCCAGGUUUAAGCGAUUCUCCUGCCUCAGCUUCCCAAGUAGCUGGGAUUACAGGUGCGUGCCACCAUGCCCGGCUAAUUUUUGUAUUUUUAGUAGAGACGGGGUUUCACCAUGUUGGCCAGGCUGGUGUCCAACUCCCGGCCUCAAGUGAUCCACCCGCCUCGACCUCCGAAAACGCUGGGAUUACAGGUGUGAGCCACCGCGCCCGGUCUCAUUUUUUCUCUCUUGCACGAUCAUUGCUGGCAGCCUUAAAAAGUGGGUGAACAUUUCAACUGUUUCCUUAUCCCAGAGACUGUAGUGAUCACUUUAUGCAUCUGUCUCCCAAUUAGACUGCGAUUCCCUUGAGGAUAAGGGCUAUGUAUUCCAAGUCUUUCUUAACACCCAGCAGCGCGUGCUACAUACAGCCAAUACUCCGCAAAAGUCUGUGGGAUAAAUGAGAAAGCUAAAGAAAACGAGAUGUCCCAGGACUUUACCCAGCACCCAGAGCCCAGGAGGACGCUAAAGGGGUGACUCACUGGAGCGACACAGCAGCACCCGUGGUGUGGGCGUCAGGG